AUUGAACGCUGGCGGCAGGCCUAACACAUGCAAGUCGAGCGAGCGGCGGACGGGUGAGUAAUGUCUGGGAAACUGCCUGAUGGAGGGGGAUAACUACUGGAAACGGUAGCUAAUACCGCAUACCAUCAGAUGUGCCCAGAUGGGAUUAGCUAGUAGGUGGGGUAAAGGCUCACCUAGGCGACGAUCUCUAGCUGGUCUGAGAGGAUGAUCAGCAAAACUGGGACUGAGACAUGGGCCUGAUUCCGACGGGAGGCAGCAGUGGGGAAUAUGGCAUAAUGGGCGCAAGCCUGAUGCAGCCAUGCCGCGUGUAGGAAGAAGGCCUUAGGGUUGUAAAGUACUUUCAGCGGGGAGGCGUUACCCGCAGAAGAAGCACCGGCUAACUCCGUGCCAGCAGCCGCGGUAAUAC
rnacentral:rRNA from 1 species